AAAGAAAAAAAAACGAACGUGUCAAUAAUCAGCUGAUUGGUAAAAAAACGUGUAAAAGCUUUUUUCAAUUAUGCUUUAAAUAAUUGAAAAAAGAUAUAACAGAGAGAAACAAAUUAUUUAUUAUUAUUAUUAUAUAGUUAUUAUAUAUAAUUAUAUAUAGUAUAUAUUAGAAAUAUUUUUAUUUCAAGCAACGACUCAAAUGAAAAGUCUUCGGAGCAAUUUAAAAAAUUGCUAUCUCGCUUGUACGUCAGAUAUUGCACGCGUGCAUAUACACUUUGCGUUUAGCGCUAUGAUUACCGUCUGAUCGCUUAUGACAGACGACUCUCAUAAUUAAUCAGUUCAGACUGCAAAUCUAUCUGGUUAGGAACGCUACUCUCCGCGCAAACCGCGACACAAGAAUACAGGAUGAGAAACGUGAAUAACCUUGAUAGAUCAGUAGCAACAUGCAGGAGACCGAAUUACCAAGACUUGCUCCAAUCUCGGCAAGCCACCGUGCACCGUCGUGUGUUGGUCUCGCCGGACGUUGGUCGUUUUCACGCGAGACGCACGUUAUCGCGUUCUGGCGACUCGUUCAUCAUCGGACGAGAUAAUCCGAAGGACAAAAAUGCUGGUACUCUGGAAUGACACGAGUAAAAAUAGAGGCACGUGGUUUUGUCGAUGGCGCGUCAACGGCGCGCGAUAUUUAUUAACAAAAUUACACGGAUAUCUCUAA